GACGAACGCUGGCGGCGUGCUUAACACAUGCAAGUCGAGCGGUAAGGCCCUUUCGGGGUACGACGAGCGGCGAACGGGUAGGAGUAACAACGUGGGUGGACCUCGCCCUCCAGCUCUGGGAGUAAGACCUCGGGAAACGUAGGGUCGUAAUAACUGGAGUAUGACUCCACCGGUGGCAUGUCGUAGGGUGGGAAAGGACCUU
rnacentral:rRNA from 1 species